ensembl:lncRNA RRP7BP ribosomal RNA processing 7 homolog B, pseudogene
GGGUGGCAAGAUGGUGGCGCGCAGGACGAAGCUCGCGGCGCGGGACCCGGAGGACGGUAUCCCGAGCCCACCGUGCUACGCAGCUAUUCCAAUCAAGUUCUCUGAAAAGCAACAGGCUUCUCACUACCUCUAUGUGAGAGCACACGGCAUUCAACAAGGCACCAAGUCCACCUGGCCUCAGAAGAGGACUCUUUUUGUCUUCAAUGUGCCCCCAUACUGCACAGAGGAGAGCCUGUCCUGCCUCCAGUCCACCUGUGGCCUUGUCCAGUCUGUAGAGUUGAAGGAGAAGCUGGAGCUGGCUGGGAGUCAAGGUCGAAGUUUUUUCAUCCAAAGCCAGUUCCGGGUUUCCAGGUAGCCUACGUGGUGUUCCAGAAGCCAAGUGGGGUGUCAGCGGCCUUGGCCCUGAAGGGCCCCCUGCUGGUGUCCACAGAGAGCCACCCUGUGAAGAGUGGCAUUCACAAAUGGAUCAGUGACUACGCAGACUCUGUGCCCGACCCUGAGGCCCUGAGGGUGGAAGUGGACACGUUCAUGGAGGCAUAUGACCAGAAGAUCGCUGAGGAAGAAGCUAAGGCCAAGGAGGAGGAGGGGGUCCCUGACGAGGAGGGCUGGGUGAAGGUGACCCGCCGGGGCCGGCGGCCUGUGCUCCCCCGGACUGAGGCAGCCAGCUUGCGGGUGCUGGAGAGGGAGAGACGGAAGCGCAGCCAAAAAGAGCUGCUCAACUACGCCUGGCAGCAUCGAGAGAGCAAGAUGGAGCAUCUAGCGCAGCUGCGCAAGAAGUUUGAGGAGGACAAGCAGAGGAUCGAGCUGCUGCGGGCCCAGCGCAAAUUCCGACCCUACUGAGCCGUGAGAGCCGCAGUGGAUGGCUGGAGGUGCAGGGCCAGGAGGAACAUGAGGUGAGGCAGGGCCUGCAGCGGUCUCUGAGAGGCCGAGCUCUGGCCAACGGGCCCCAGGUUGAAGGCCAUCGCGUCCAACAGCCCCAUCAGAGUCCACACAGGCCAGGAGUGAAGGACCAGGCCACCCCUCGGGUCUUGUGCUUCAGCAGUCCUGGAGACCCAGGCGUGCCGAGAGGAGGACUUGUCCUUCCCACCUCUUGCCUCCACACCCUUGAGGACCCUGGAUGAAUCCGUUCUGUGCUUCCUUUUCCCUCAAUGCAAAAGCCCUUGCUGGCAACAAAAAAGCCUCAAAAGCAGUGA